rnacentral:rRNA from 1 species
GUCUCGCAUGGGACAGUGUGAAAAACUCCGGUGGUACAAGAUGGAUCCGCGUCUGAUUAGCCAGUUGGCGGGGUAACGGCCCACCAAAGCGACGAUCAGUAGCCGGCCUGAGAGGGUGAACGGCCACAUUGGGACUGAGACACGGCCCAAACUCCUACGGGAGGCAGCAGUGGGGAAUAUUGCACAAUGGGGGAAACCCUGAUGCAGCAACGCCGCGUGAGUGAAGAAGUAAUUCGUUAUGUAAAGCUCUAUCAGCAGGGAAGAAAAUGACGGUACCUGAGUAAGCAGCCCCGGCUAACUACGUGCCAGCAGCCGCGGUAAUACGUAGGGGGCAAGCGUUAUCCGGAUUUACUGGGUGUAAAGGGAGCGUAGACGGUAAAGCAAGUCUGAAGUGAAAUGCCAGUGCUCAACACUGGAACUGCUUUGGAAACUGUUUGGCUGGAGUGCAGGAGAGGUAAGUGGAAUUCCUAGUGUAGCGGUGAAAUGCGUAGAUAUUAGGAGGAACACCAGUGGCGAAGGCGGCUUACUGGACUGUAACUGACGUUGAGGCUCGAAAGCGUGGGGAGCAAACAGGAUUAGAUACCCUGGUAGUCCACGCGGUAAACGAUGAUUAAUAGGUGUCGGGG